rnacentral:rRNA from 1 species
ACUCAAAUGAAUUGACGGGGACCCACACAAGCGGUGGAGCAUGUGGUUUAAUUCGACACUAAACGAAGAACCUUACCCAGGCUUGACAUUCUUGGAACCCCCUGGAAACAGGGGGGUGCCCGCAAGGGAGCCGAGUAACAGGUGCUGCAUGGUCGUCGUCAGCUCGUGUCGUGAGAUGUUGGGUUAAGUCCCGCAACGAGCGCAACCCUCGUCGAUAGUUGUAUUUUUCUAUCGAGACUGCCCGGUACAACCGGGAGGAAGGUGGGGAUGACGUCAGAUCAGCAUGGCCUUUAUGCCUGGGGCCACACACGUGCUACAAUGGCAAGGACAGCGGGAAGCGAAGCCGUAAGGCGGAGCCAAUCCCUUAAAACUUGCCUCAGUUCGGAUUGAGGGCUGAAACUCGCCCUCAUGAAGUUGGAAUCGCUAGUAACCGCCGGUCAGCUAUACGGCGGUGAAUAUGUUCCUGGGUCUUGUACACACCGCCCGU